UAUUCGGUAAAAGAUGGGCCCGCAUCUGAUUAGCUAGUUGGUGAGAUAAUAGCCCACCAAGGCAACGAUCAGUAGCCGACCUGAGAGGGUGACCGGCCACAUUGGGACUGAGACACGGCCCAAACUCCUACGGGAGGCAGCAGUGGGGAAUAUUGCACAAUGGGCGAAAGCCUGAUGCAGCAACGCCGCGUGAAGGAAGACGGUUUUCGGAUUGUAAACUUCUAUCAAUAGGGAAGAAAGAAAUGACGGUACCUAAAUAAGAAGCCCCGGCUAACUACGUGCCAGCAGCCGCGGUAAUACGUAGGGGGCAAGCGUUAUCCGGAAUUACUGGGUGUAAAGGGAGAGUAGGCGGCAAGGUAAGCGAUAUGUGAAAGCCUUAAGCUUAACUUAAGGAUUGCAUAACGAACUAUCUAGCUAGAGUACAGGAGAGGAAAGCGGAAUUCCUAGUGUAGCGGUGAAAUGCGUAGAUAUUAGGAAGAACACCAGUGGCGAAGGCGGCUUUCUGGACUGAAACUGACGCUGAGGCUCGAAAGCGUGGGGAGCGAACAGGAUUAGAUACCUUGGUAGUCCACGCUGUAAACAAUGAGUGCUAGGUGUCGGGGAGGAAUUCCCG
rnacentral:rRNA from 1 species